UUUUAAAAAGUCAAGCAACACUUGAUUUCAUCUAGAAAAAUACAGGAAGUCAGCAGAUAUUUUUUCACACUGGCAAGACGGGGGGGGGGGAAGACUUCAAGGAGCUGCCUGCGACCUUGACUUGGACACCAGAUGGACAGGCUUCUGAUACAUGGCAGAGCUUUAGGAUAAUUUCUCAGGGUGAGAGAUCUGCAGUCUAAUGAUUCUCAUCAGUAGUUUGGAGGAUCCUGAAGACGUACCUAUUUUCCCAGGCUUUUAACUGAAAUCUAAUUUUUAAAUGUUAAUGUGUUUUGAUCUAUUGUGAUUUUUAUCUGUUUUAUGAAUUUUAAAUAUUUUAUAUUAUGUUUUAAUCUGAACACCGCCUAGAGAUUUCUGUAUUAAGAGGUAUAGACAUUCAAUAAAAUAAAUAAUAAAAUGUA